rnacentral:rRNA from 1 species
GUAGUCAUAUGCUUGUCUCAAAGAUUAAGCCAUGCAUGUCUAAGUAUAAGCAAUUAUACCGCGAAACUGCGAAUGGCUCAUUAUAUAAGUUAUCGUUUAUUUGAUAGUACCUUACUACUUGGAUAACCGUGGUAAUUCUAGAGCUAAUACAUGCUAAAAAUCCCGACUUCGGAAGGGAUGUAUUUAUUAGAUUAAAAGCCAAUGCCCUCUGGGCUCUCUGGUGAUUCAUGAUAACUUCUCGAAUCGCAUGGCCUUGCGCCGGCGAUGGUUCAUACAAAUUUCUUCCCCAUCAACUUUCGAUGUUUGGGUAUUGGCCAAACAUGGUUGCAACGGGUAACGGAGGGUUAGGGCUCGACCCCGGAGAAGGAGCCUGAGAAACGGCUACUACAUCCAAGGAAGGCAGCAGGCGCGCAAAUUACCCAAUCCCGACACGGGGAGGUAGUGACAAUAAAUACUGAUGCAGGGCUCUUUUGGGUCUUGUAAUUGGAAUGAGUACAAUUUAAAUCCCUUAACGAGGAACAAUUGGGGGGCAAGUCUGGUGCCAGCAGCC